UGGGGAAUAUUGGACAAUGGGCGAAAGCCUGAUCCAGCCAUGCCGCGUGAGUGACGAAGGUCUUCGGAUUGUAAAGCUCUUUUGGCGGGGACGAUAAUGACGGUACCCGCAGAAUACGACCCGGCUAACUUCGUGCCAGCAGCCGCGGUAAUACGAAGGGGGCUAGCGUUGUUCGGAAUUACUGGGCGUAAAGCGCACGUAGGCGGAUUGUUAAGUCAGGGGUGAAAUCCCGGGGCUCAACCUCAGAACUGCCUUUGAUACUGGCAAUCUCGAGUCUGGAAGAGGUGAGUGGAAUUCCUAGUGUAGAGGUGAAAUUCGUAGAUAUUAGGAAGAACACCAGUGGCGAAGGCGGCUCACUGGUCCGGUACUGACGCUGAGGUGCGAAAGCGUGGGGAGCAAAC
rnacentral:rRNA from 1 species